rnacentral:rRNA from 1 species
GAGUUUGAUUAUGGCUCAGGACGAACGCUGGCGGCGUGCCUAAUACAUGCAAGUCGAACGAACGGAGAAAGAAGCUUGCUUUUUUCAAAGUUAGUGGCGAACGGGUGAGUAACACGUGGGUAACCUGCCCAUCAGAGGGGGAUAACAUUCGGAAACGGAUGCUAAAACCGCAUAGGUUCCUUAGUUGCAUGACUGAGGAAGGAAAAGAGGCGUAAGCUUCUGCUGGUGGAUGGACCCGCGGUGCAUUAGCUAGUUGGUGAGGUAACGGCUCACCAAGGCGAUGAUGCAUAGCCGACCUGAGAGGGUGAUCGGCCACAUUGGGACUGAGACACGGCCCAAACUCCUACGGGAGGCAGCAGUAGGGAAUCUUCCGCAAUGGACGCAAGUCUGANCGGAGCAACGCCGCGUGAGUGAAGAAGGUUUUCGGAUCGUAAAACUCUGUUGUUAGAGAAGAAUAAGCCAUAAUAGUAANCUGAUUAUGCCGUGANCGG